UGGGGAAUUUUGGACAAUGGGCGAAAGCCUGAUCCAGCAAUGCCGCGUGUAUGAAGAAGGCCUUCGGGUUGUAAAGCACUUUUGUCCGGAAAGAAAUCCUUGGCUCUAAUACAGUCGGGGGAUGACGGUACCGGAAGAAUAAGCACCGGCUAACUACGUGCCAGCAGCCGCGAUAAUACGUAGGGUGCAAGCGUUAAUCGGAAUUACUGGGCGUAAAGCGUGCGCAGGCGGUUUGCUAAGACCGAUGUGAAAUCCCCGGGCUCAACCUGGGAACUGCAUUGGUGACUGGCAGGCUAGAGUAUGGCAGAGGGGGGUAGAAUUCCACGUGUAGCAGUGAAAUGCGUAGAGAUGUGGAGGAAUACCGAUGGCGAAGGCAGCCCCCCUGGGCCAAUACUGACGCUCAUGCACGAAAGCGUGGGGAGCAAACAGGAUUAGAUACCCUGGUAGUCCACGCCCCUAAACGAUGUCAACUAGUUGUUGGGGAUUCAUUUCCUUAGUAACGUAGCUAACGCGUGAAGUUGACCGCCUGGGGGAGUACGGUCGCAAGAUUAAAACUCAAAGGAAUUGACGGGGU
rnacentral:rRNA from 1 species